UACGAAGGGGGCGAGCGUUGUUCGGAUUUACUGGGCGUAAAGCGUGCGUAGACGGUCAUGUAAGUCGGGUGUGAAAGCCCCGGGCUCAACCUGGGAAUUGCAUUCGAGACUGCAUGGCUAGGGUGCGGAAGAGGGAAGCGGAAUUUCCGGUGUAGCGGUGAAAUGCGUAGAUAUCGGAAGGAACACCAGUGGCGAAAGCGGCUUCCUGGUCCAGCACCGACGUUCAGGCACGAAAGCGUGGGGAGCAAACAGG
rnacentral:rRNA from 1 species